UACGGAGGGUGCGAGCGUUGUCCGGAAUCACUGGGCGUAAAGGGUGAGUAGGCGGUCUGUUAAGCGUGCGGUGAAAGCCUGGGGCUCAACCCCAGGUCUGCCGUGCGAACUGGUGGACUAGAGUACUGUAGAGGCAGGCGGAAUUCCGGGUGUAGCGGUGGAAUGCGUAGAGAUCCGGAAGAACACCGGUGGCGAAGGCGGCCUGCUGGGCAGUUACUGACGCUGAAUCACGACAGCGUGGGGAGCAAACAGG
rnacentral:rRNA from 1 species